UACGUAGGGAGCAAGCGUUGUCCGGAUUUAUUGGGCGUAAAGCGCACGCAGGCGGUUUAGUCAGUCUCUACUGACAGUGUCCGGCUCAACCGGGCAAGUGGUAGGGAAACUGCUAAACUUGAGGGCUUCAGAGGGAUGGGGAACUCCAGGUGGAGUGGUGAAAUGCGUAGAUAUCUGGAAGAACACCAAUGGCGAAGGCACCAUCCUGGGAAGCAUCUGGACGCUCAGGUGCGGAAAGCUAAGGGGAGCGAACGGGGAUUAAGAUACCCGA
rnacentral:rRNA from 1 species